rnacentral:misc_RNA from 1 species
GAUGAAGAACGUAGUGAAAUGCGAUAACUAAUGUGAAUUGCAGAAUUCCGUGAAUCAUCGAGUCUUUGAACGCACAUUGCGCCCCCUGGUAUUCCGGGGGGCAUGCCUGUCCGAGCGUCAUUGCUGCCCAUCAAGCACGGCUUGUGUGUUGGGUCCUCGUCCCCCCCGGGGGACGUGCCCGAAAGGCAGCGGCGGCACCGCGUCCGGUCCUCGAGCGUAUGGGGCUUUGUCACCCGCUCUGCAGGCCCGGCCGGCGCUGGCCGACGCGAAAGCAACCAUUUUUUCUCCAGGUUGACCUCGGAUCAGGUAGGGAUACCCGCUGAAUUUAAGCAUAUCAAUAAGCGGAGGA